GAUGAAGAACGUAGUGAAAUGCGAUAAGUAGUGUGAAUUGCAGAAUUCAGUGAAUCAUCGAAUCUUUGAACGCACAUUGCGCCCUUUGGUAUUCCUUAGGGCAUGCCUGUUCGAGCGUCAUUUAAACCUUCAAGCUCAGCUUGGUGUUGGGUGACUGUCCGCUUCACCGCGGACUCGCCUCAAAAUUAUUGGCGGCCGGUACAUUGGCUCUCGAGCGCAGCAGAAACGCGUAACUCGAGGUCCUCGUGCUGGCUCCCAGAAGCUAUCGUCACAAUUUUGACCUCGGAUCAGGUAGGGAUACCCGCUGAACUUAAGCAUAUCAAUAAGCGGAGGA
rnacentral:misc_RNA from 1 species